UACUAUUUUUAAACUAUAAACAUCGUACAUUUAUGCUUUGGCUUGUGUUGUCAAAUCGGCAUUAAUGGCCAUUUAAUAUCAGGUUCAACAUGGACACGAUUGAUUUCAUUCAAGAUAUAGCACUUUGUCGACGGGAAAUCCAAUCAAGAAAACCCUGACUCUCAAGCAGCUACUGUAUUUGACCAGCUCACACCAGCUAGGCCUCCUCCAAAACUCAGAUAAAUAUUUGAGCCACCAAAACAAAACGAGAACAGAUCGGUCUGAAUCGUUAAGAACUGAAGCUAACAUCAUAGAGGUACAUCCUUCCAAGAAUCCAUCAAAACAACAUGCUGAACAACUUCAAGAACUCUCUUCAAAAGACCACACUUUCCUGAAAUAAAUAAAAG